rnacentral:rRNA from 1 species
UAUUAAAGGCAAUGCCUGCCCAGUGAGAACCUCUUCAACGGCCGCGGUACCCUAACCGUGCAAAGGUAGCGUAAUCAUUUGUCUAUUAAUUGUAGACCAGUAUGAAAGGCCACAUGAGAGUCAAACUGUCUCUUGUAAUCAAUCAAUUAAACUGAUCUCCCAGUACAAAAGCUGGAAUACCCAUAUAAGACCAGAAGACCCUGUGAAGCUUAAACUAACCUAUUAAACCUUAUAAUAAUUACUUUCAGUUGGGGCGACUUUGGAACAAAACAGAACUUCCAAACAACAUGAAUCAUACCUCAUACCACAGGCCAACAAGCCACUAUAAGACCCAGUAACACUGACAAUUGAACCAAGUUACUCCAGGGAUAACAGCGCCAUCUUCUUUAAGAGCCCAUAUCAAAAAGAAGGUUUACGACCUCGAUGUUGGAUCAGGACACCCAAAUGGUGCAGCCGCUAUUAAAGGUUCGUUUGUUCAACGAUUAACAGUCCU